rnacentral:rRNA from 1 species
GAUGAACGCUGGCGGCGUGCCUAAUACAUGCAAGUCGAGCGAACAGAUGAGGAGCUUGCUCCUCUGACGUUAGCGGCGGACGGGUGAGUAACACGUGGAUAACCUACCUAUAAGACUGGGAUAACUUCGGGAAACCGGAGCUAAUACCGGAUAAUAUAUUGAACCGCAUGGUUCAAUAGUGAAAGACGGUUUUGCUGUCACUUAUAGAUGGAUCCGCGCCGCAUUAGCUAGUUGGUAAGGUAACGGCUUACCAAGGCAACGAUGCGUAGCCGACCUGAGAGGGUGAUCGGCCACACGGGAACUGAGACACGGUCCAGACUCCGACGGGAGGCAGCAGUAGGGAAUCUUCCGCAAGGGGCGAAAGCCUGACGGAGCAACGCCGCGUGAGUGAUGAAGGUCUUCGGAUCGUAAAACUCUGUUAUUAGGGAAGAACAAAUGUGUAAGUAACUAUGCACGUCUUGACGGUACCUAAUCAGAAAGCCACGGCUAACUACGUG